rnacentral:rRNA from 1 species
CCUACGUGGUGCUGCAGUGGGGAAUAUUGGACAAUGGGCGAAAGCCUGAUCCAGCCAUGCCGCGUGUGUGAAGAAGGCCUUCGGGUUGUAAAGCACUUUCAGUGGGGAAGAAAGCCUUGGGGCUAAUACCCUCGAGGAAGGACAUCACCCACAGAAGAAGCACCGGCUAACUCCGUGCCAGCAGCCGCGGUAAUACGGAGGGUGCGAGCGUUAAUCGGAAUUACUGGGCGUAAAGCGAGCGUAGGCGGUCUGAUAAGCCGGUUGUGAAAGCCCCGGGCUCAACCUGGGAACGGCAUCCGGAACUGUCAGGCUAGAGUGCAGGAGAGGAAGGUAGAAUUCCCGGUGUAGCGGUGAAAUGCGUAGAGAUCGGGAGGAAUACCAGUGGCGAAGGCGGCCUUCUGGACUGACACUGACGCUGAGGUGCGAAAGCGUGGGUAGCAAACAGGAUUAGAUACCCUGGUAGUC